rnacentral:rRNA from 1 species
GAUGAACGCUAGCUACAGGCUUAACACAUGCAAGUCGAGGGGCAGCAGGGAUUUAGCUUGCUAAAUUCGCUGGCGACCGGCGCACGGGUGCGUAACGCGUAUCCAACUUUCCCGUUACUCUCGGAUAGCCUUCCGAAAGGGAGAUUAAUACGAGAUGGUGUUUUAAUUUCGCAUGUUCUUCAAACUAAAGAUUUAUCGGUAACGGAUAGGGAUGCGUGACAUUAGAUAGUAGGCGGGGUAACGGCCCACCUAGUCUACGAUGUCUAGGGGUUCUGAGAGGAAGGUCCCCCACACUGGAACUGAGACACGGUCCAGACUCCUACGGGAGGCAGCAGUGAGGAAUAUUGGUCAAUGGUCUGACGACUGAACCAGCCAUGCCGCGUGAAGGUCACGGCCCUAUGGGUCUUAAACUUCUUUUGUCAAGGGAGCAAUAAGUCUCACGUGUGGGAUGAUGAGAGUACCUUGCGAAUAAGCAUCGGCUAACUCCGUGCCAGCAGCCGACGG